AUGGCGUACUCUGUUCCGACCUUAUUAUUAUCGUCCAUGGAGCAGAAUAAUGUGCGCCACCGCUGCAAGCCACAAGAGGAAGAUAGGCUGGGCGCCCUGACUGAUGACAUCCUGCUCUCCAUCUUGGGGAGUGUGGACCUUGCGACGGCCGCAAGGACCAGCGCCCUGUCGACGCGCUGGAGGAGCCUGCCAUGGCUGCUCCCUGAGCUUAACCUCCAUGUCAGGGAUUUCCUGCCCGUGCCAUGCCCAGAUUACCCUCUUGCUGCUGCUCUACGGAUUUUUUUUUAUUCUAAAAUACCAGCGCAACACAUAAAUCAAGCAAUGGCGUCUCUGACCAGAGCUGCUAGGAGUUUCUUGCGCACCAAACACAGCAGAACCGUCACAAAAAUGUCCCUUGAGAUCUACCUCGUUGGCAACUAUUCGCAUGAUAUUGGCCCGCUGGUCCGUGACGCCAUCGACAAUGGCACGGUAAGAGAGCUGGACCUCACCAUUGCCGACGACAAGGAUUUCAGGUGCAAACGUGCAGAUAUGCUGCAGAAAGCACGGGUCGUGGACGGGUUCUUCAGCACGUAUCCUAAUGUGCUCCCUUGCCUCACGAGGCUCCACCUCUACAACCUGCGAUUCGCGGAGGGGGACAUGCUGCACCACACGCUGUUCGACUGCUGCAAGCAGCUGCAGCACCUCAGCCUGGACCACUGCGACGCCGGCGACGGCUCGGUGUGGCAGAUAGACGCGCCAAGUUCGGGGCUCAGGGUUCUUGAGCUCCGCUAUUCCUACUUGAAGAGGCUCGAGGUGCUCUGCCUUCCCAAACUAGAGCUGCUCCGUUGGGAGGUCUGGCUGCACAAUGAGACCCCCUUGCAUUUUGGUUCUGUGCCAUGUCUCAAGGAGUUAUUCCUCCUAUGUGGUGCUGACAUCGACCACCCGGGGUUUAGUUUAAGCCAGCUUCUAGAUGGUGCUACAGACAUCCAUACCCUGACCUUAAACUUCCAAGGAGAAAAGCUUUGGAUCCAGCCUGAAAGCAGGCAACUCCGCGCUGCAUUCAGCAAGCUAAAGAAGCUGUCUAUUCAAGGCAUAUAUGUUGAGUUUGACCUGUUAUGGACAAUAAAUCUCCUUGAAGCUGCUCCAACCGUUGAGAUAUUUGGUGUCGAGGCGUUUGAACAUCCAUGUUCUGUGCCAUUUUGGGUACGCGUUGGCGUUCAAAGAGUGCAGCCUUCAUGGAAGACGCCUGGAUUCACAAGCUGUAGCAAGUGGCAACUGAGAGAGCUCCACGUUGCUAGCUUUAGUCCAUUGGUGGGGCAUCAUAUGUUAUUUGUGCGUGAGGUGAUGGGUCGAGCGCCAAAGCUGGAGACUGUUCUUUUGAAGGAAAAUGAAGAGCCAUGCAGGAAGUGCGAGGCAAUGGGUGCACUACCUACUCCGAUAGGAGGCAUGUUUCCAAGGGGCAAAGAUGAGCAAGACGCCAUAGCCAGGCAACUUAGGGACAAGAGGAUCGUCUCGUCGUCCUCGGCGGCGAAGAUAGUUUUCAAAAGUAUUGCUUCAACAGUGGUAUUCUGA
rnacentral:rRNA from 1 species